rnacentral:lncRNA from 1 species
UGCCCAGGCCGUGCGCUGCCACACUUGGACCGCACACCACUGCAUGCGGCCGCACCACCGCCACUCCACCAGCCCACCGGCGGUUCUCCGCCACUUCGAAUUUCGUGCCAACUUCAAUCGGACAUAUCUCCUUCAUCCGGACUCCGUUUGGGAUGAUCUUGGGCUCGUUGGACUCCAUUUUUCGUCGCGGACCUCGCUGUAGGCUCAAUAUAAACCGAAUCUCGAAGCAUCAAAUCCUAACACUACAUUCAUUUAUUUGAAGAUAGGGCAUGACGACUAAUAGAAUAAAAAAAUAACUUGCAAAAUCUUAUGUAAAUUACUUUAUUAUUUUACGGUCAACUUAUGAUUUAUUAUUACUUUAUGUAAAUUUAUGAUGCAUUCAGGAAUUCCAAGCUGACACAUCUGCUGCAAGAUUCAUUAGGUAUGUCACCGAUUCAUGUACAAUCAUUUAGUUUUUUUUGGUAGGAAUACAAUCAUUUAGUUUAUUUUCAGAUAUCUGUCCUUGUAAACAAAAUUUCAUUGAGGCUUUUGUUUUUCUAUUGAAUUCUUUACUUAUCAUGUUUUCUCUUUUAUAUAAGCAGGCGGUGACUCGAAAGCUUUAAUGUUUGUGCAAAUCAGUCCCUCCGA